rnacentral:rRNA from 1 species
CCUACGGGUGGCAGCAGUGAGGAAUAUUGGUCAAUGGGCGCAAGCCUGAACCAGCCAAGUAGCGUGAAGGAUGACGGCCCUAUGGGUUGUAAACUGCUUUUGUAAGGGGAUAAACGCAGGCACGCGUGCCUGUUUGUAAGUACUUUAUGAAUAAGGAUCGGCUAACUCCGUGCCAGCAGCCGCGGUAAUACGGAGGAUGCGAGCGUUAUCCGGAUUUAUUGGGUUUAAAGGGUGCGUAGAUGGGCGGAUAAGUCAGUGGUGAAAUUUUGCGGCUCAACUGCAAAAUUGCAAUUGAUACUGGUCGGCUAGAGUACAGUUGAGGUAGGCGGAAUGCGUGGUGUAGCGGUGAAAUGCUUAGAGAUCACGCAGAACACCGAUUGCGAAGGCAGCUUACUAAGCUGCCACUGACAUUGAGGCUCGAAAGUGUGGGGAGCAAACAGGAUUAGAUACCCGGGUAGUC